GUAAUCUUUAUAUCUUUACAAGAUAAGGAAUCUUCUUCUGAAAAGUGUUCUUAUCAAGUGAAUAUUACCUGCCUUUUUUCCUUCUUUUUUCUUAUUUAUUUGAGACAUAUCUCUAACAAAACCCUAAUGGUACAAGUGAUAUUCACUAGAAUAUUCUCUUUAAUAUCCUAUUUCAAAAAUUAGCCGUUACUGCUCUGUCAGUGGUGCUCGACCUCGGUCAUUAUUGACGUCUCGACCACGAAUCUUGCUGCUCCCUGGCCGACCUCGGCUGACUCUUCCCUUAAUGUUAUAUUACCCUAAAUAUUCUUGGGUAGAUUUUUUCCCAUACAGAUACAUUUGGACAAUUUAUCUGAUUUGUACUCCACAUAGGCAAAAUAAAAUGAUAUUAAAUUUUUAUACUAAUUACUAAAGAAAAAAAUGAAGAAAAGGUAAAAGGCAAAACGUUAGAAGUAAAACAUAAAUAUUUCAUUUUUCUCUAAACAUUUCUCUCUCUAUGUCCAGCAGAACUCUAUCAAAAAAUCUCUCAAAUGUCGCUCCCAAUUUCACUUGUAUUUACAUAGAAAUCUUCUAUUUCUUCUCCACUUCAGCUCUUGCUCUUUUUUAUUUCUCUUUUUCAACAAACCCAAAAUGACAACAUUAGCUUGUUUUGGAAAUUUCGGUUCGUACUACUCAAAACAAUUACAAGCCUUACGAUCUUUAACCUGUACAAAAAGCACAACUAUCAAUUUGUUUUUAUGAAAAAACCUAGAACAAACCCAACAUAAAUUAUAAUCAAUUUAAAUCUUCUACACAUUACUUUAUCAUACCUUAUAUGUUUUACAACCAAAAAAUCUUCUUCCAGGAUUGUCAUUUGAGCAUGAAAUUUUCAAAUGUGACGGAUACCCACAUUUACAAAGUGGGUUCAUCUUCAAUAUCUUGGAGAAAACUAGGAAGGAAACCAAGAAUAUGACUAAGGACUUUAAC
rnacentral:lncRNA from 1 species